GAGCGCACCUUCGGGUGAGCGGCGGACGGGUUAGUAACGCGUGGGAAUAUGCCCAAAGGUACGGAAUAGCCUCUGGAAACGGAGAGUAAUACCGUAUGUGCCCUUCGGGGAAAAGAUUUAUCGCCUUUGGAUUAGCCCGCGUUAGAUUAGGUAGUUGGUGGGGUAAUGGCCUACCAAGCCUACGAUCUAUAGCUGGUUUUAGAGGAUGAUCAGCCACACUGGGACUGAGACACGGCCCAGACUCCUACGGGGGGCAGCAGUGGGGAAUCUUAGACAAUGGGGGCAACCCUGAUCUAGCCAUGCCGCGUGAGUGAUGAAGGCCUUAGGGUCGUAAAGCUCUUUCGCUGGGGAAGAUAAUGACGGUACCCAGUAAAGAAACCCCGGCUAACUCCGUGCCAGCAGCCGCGGUAAUACGGAGGGGGUUAGCGUUGUUCGGAAUUACUGGGCGUAAAGCGCGCGUAGGCGGACUGGAAAGUUGGGGGUGAAAUCCCGGGGCUCAACCUCGGAACUGCCUCCAAAACUAUCAGUCUAGAGUUCGAGAGAGGUGAGUGGAACUCCGAGUGUAGAGGUGAAAUUCGUAGAUAUUCGGAAGAACACCAGUGGCGAAGGCGGCUCACUGGCUC
rnacentral:rRNA from 1 species